GAUGAACGCUGGCGGCGUGCCUAAUACAUGCAAGUCGAGCGAACGGACGAGGAGCUUGCUUCUCUGAUGUUAGCGGCGGACGGGUGAGUAACACGUGGAUAACCUACCUAUAAGACUGGGAUAACUUCGGGAAACCGGAGCUAAUACCGGAUAAUAUUUUGAACCGCAUGGUUCAAAAGUAAAAGACGGUCUUGCUGUCACUUAUAGAUGGAUCCGCGCUGCAUUAGCUAGUUGGUAAGGUAACGGCUUACCAAGGCAACGAUGCAUAGCCGACCUGAGAGGGUGAUCGGCCACACUGGAACUGAGACACGGUCCAGACUCCUACGGGAGGCAGCAGUAGGGAAUCUUCCGCAAUGGGCGAAAGCCUGACGGAGCAACGCCGCGUGAGUGAUGAAGGUCUUCGGAUCGUAAAACUCUGUUAUUAGGGAAGAACAUAUGUGUAAGUAACUGUGCACAUCUUGACGGUACCUAAUCAGAAAGCCACGGCUAACUACGUG
rnacentral:rRNA from 1 species